rnacentral:rRNA from 1 species
UUUCCGGUUGAUCCUGCCGGAGGCCAUUGCUAUUGGGAUCCGACUAAGCCAUGCGAGUCGAGAGUCAUUUGGACUCGGCGAACUGCUCAGUAACACGUGGCCAAACUACCCUGUGGAGAGGAAUAACCUCGGGAAACUGAGGAUAAGACCUCAUAGGAGCCGGAUGCUGGAAUGCACCGGCUCCGAAACGCUCCGGCGCCACAGGACGUGGCUGCGUCCGAUUAGGUUGACGGUGGGGUAAAGGCCCACCGUGCCAGUAAUCGGUACGGGUUGUGAGAGCAAGAGCCCGGAGAUGGACUCUGAGACACGAGUCCAGGCCCUACGGGGCGCAGCAGGCGCGAAACCUUUACACUGUACGAGAGUGCGAUAAGGGGAUCCCAAGUGCCCGCGCCUAGCGUGGGCUUUUCUGAACCGUAAAAUGGUUCAGGAACAAGGGCUGGGCAAGACCGGUGCCAGCCGCCGCGGUAACACCGGCAGCUCGAGUGAUGGCCGAUUUUAUUGGGCCUAAAGCGUCCGUAGCCUGCCGUACGGGUCCGUCGGGAAAUCCGCCCGCUCAACGGGCGGACGUCCGGCGGAAACCAUACGGCUUGGGACCAGAGGACCCGAGGGGUACGUCGGGGGUAGGAGUGAAAUCCCGAGAUCCUCGACGGACCGCCGGUGGCGAAAGCGCCUCGGGAAGAUGGAUCCGACGGUCAGGGACGAAAGCUUGGGUCUCGAACCGGAUUAGAUACCCGGGUAGUCCAAGCUGUAAACGAUGUUCGCUAGGUGUGGCGUAGGCUACGAGCCUGCGCUGUGCCAAAGGGAAGCCACGAAGCGAACCGCCUGGGAAGUACGUCUGCAAGGAUGAAACUUAAAGGAAUUGGCGGGGGAGCACUACAACGGGAGGAGCCUGCGGUUUAAUUGGAGUCAACGCCGGAA